CCUACGGGAGGCAGCAGUGAGGAAUAUUGGACAAUGGGCGAGAGCCUGAUCCAGCCAAGUAGCGUGAACGAUGACUGCCCUACGGGUUGUAAACUUUUUUUAUAAAGGAAUAAAGUGAGGCACGUGUGCCUUUAUGUAUGUACUUCAUGAAUAAGGAUCGGCUAACUCCGUGCCAGCAGCCGCGGUAAUACGGAGGUACCGAGCGUUAUCCGGAAUUAUUGGGUUUAAAGGGAUCGGUGAUGGGUUUUUAAGUCAGUUGGGAAAGUGUGCGGCUCAACCGUAAAAUUGCAUUUGAUACUGGCAGUCUUGAGUGCAGUUGAGGUAGGCGGAAUUCGUGGUGUAGCGGUGAAAUGCGUAGAUAUCAGGAAGAACACCAGUUGCGAAGGCAGCUUUCUAAACUGUCACUGACAUUGAUGCUCGAAAGUGUGGGUAGCAAACAGGAUUAGAUACCCCAGUAGUC
rnacentral:rRNA from 1 species